UGGGGAAUAUUGGACAAUGGGGGGAACCCUGAUCCAGCCAUGCCGCGUGUGUGAAGAAGGCCUUAUGGUUGUAAAGCACUUUAAGCGAGGAGGAGGGUACUGGUAUUAAUACUACCAGGUACUGGACGUUACUCGCAGAAUAAGCACCGGCUAACUCUGUGCCAGCAGCCGCGGUAAUACAGAGGGUGCGAGCGUUAAUCGGAUUUACUGGGCGUAAAGCGUGCGUAGGCGGCUAAUUGAGUCGGAUGCGAAAUCCCCGAGCUUAACUUGGGAAUUGCAUUCGAUACUGGUUAGCUAGAGUGUGGGAGAGGAUGGUAGAAUUCCAGGUGUAGCGGUGAAAUGCGUAGAGAUCUGGAGGAAUACCGAUGGCGAAGGCAGCCAUCUGGCCUAACACUGACGCUGAGGUACGAAAGCAUGGGGAGCAAACAGG
rnacentral:rRNA from 1 species